rnacentral:tRNA from 1 species
UCCACUGUGACAGAAUUAAAUGUGAUGAAUUUAAGCUUCAUUUAUAAAGUCUACCUUUCCCUGGAA